rnacentral:rRNA from 2 species
AGACCCGAAACCCGGUGAUCUAGCCAUGGGCAGGUUGAAGGUUGGGUAACACUAACUGGAGGACCGAACCGACUAAUGUUGAAAAAUUAGCGGAUGACCUGUGGCUGGGGGUGAAAGGCCAAUCAAACCGGGAGAUAGCUGGUUCUCCCCGAAAGCUAUUUAGGUAGCGCCUCGUGAAUUCAUCUCCGGGGGUAGAGCACUGUUUCGGCUAGGGGGCCAUCCCGGCUUACCAACCCGAUGCAAACUGCGAAUACCGGAGAAUGUUAUCACGGGAGACACACGGCGGGUGCUAACGUCCGUCGUGAAGAGGGAAACAACCCAGACCGCCAGCUAAGGUCCCAAAGUCAUGGUUAAGUGGGAAACGAUGUGGGAAGGCCCAGACAGCCAGGAUGUUGGCUUAGAAGCAGCCAUCAUUUAAAGAAAGCGUAAUAGCUCACUGGUCGAGUCGGCCUGCGCGGAAGAUGUAACGGGGCUAAACCAUGCACCGAAGCUGCGGCAGCGAACGUAUCACCCAAGACAACUUUACGGAGUUGACGAUUGACGGAGCGAAGCGACGUCAAAGCGUUCAUUAAAGUCGAGUUGGCUUAGGGAUACGUUCGUUGGGUAGGGGAGCGUUCUGUAAGCCUGUGAAGGUGGCCUGUGAGGG